UGUACUUAUUAUUACUCAUUCCAUGAUAGUUGCUAUUGUAAAUACUAAUAUCGGCUUUUGAGUCUUCCAAUUAUUAUUAGUAUAUAGUUCUUUCACCAAAUAAAUUAAAUGAAAUUGUUGUUCUUUCUUUCAGAUUGGAUUGCUUUUAAUUGAUUUCUUUCCGAUGGGAGUCUUUUCAGAAUGCAGGUGCAGUUUAUUAUAUUUCUAACCUGCUCUGCAUUUGCAAGUGCCUCAGCUUUUGUUUCUCAAUCUUUUAGGUAUGUGCUUAGUCUUGAACUCUUGAUUUCUUUCCUAGUCAUAGGAAGUAGGUGAAUGUGUUAAAUCCUGUUAUGAAUAGGAUCUGAUCCUUUUCGCACUCUUCUUUUGCUCGAUUGAUUUCGAUCAAAUCCGUUGUCGACAUUUGUUGAAUUCUUCUUUUUGUUGAAUAACUCCUUGUCUGUAGCUUUGUGAGUAUGUUGAUUCUGCAGCAUUAUCCUGUGGUCUUCUUGGCUGUGUCUGAGUGCAAUUUCUAAACUUGUCAUACCCAACACACUCUCUUGUUGAACUGAUAAGAACCCAAAGAAGAGGAGAAGCAUGAUUAUUCUAGAAAUAUGAAGCACCAUUUUGUCUUCACUCAGAAACAAGAAUAGAAGCACACGAGGAUUUCAAUUUUCAUUAUCCUUUCAUCAGAAACUGUUUGCCUAAGUAUAGGUUGGAUCAAUGAAGCAUGGACAAUUUAAAAUAGCAGUGUCCUUAUCUGGUCAUUCCUAGACAUGUGAGAUCAGCUACGUGGAUGAAGCGACAUCAUAAUAUUCUAUCAUAUCCUGUCAUUUUUAAAAUUUGCCAUAUCCCAAUGUAUUUGUGCCUUAUCAGGUCACAGAUUUUCCUACAACAUUUUACAUUACAUAUUUGUA